AACGUAGGUCCCGAGCGUUAUCCGGAUUUACUGGGCGUAAAGCGUGUUCAGGCGGUCUAGCAAGUCGGGCAUGAAAUCUCUCGGCUCAACCGGGAGGGGUUGUCCGAUACUGCUGGGCUUGAGGGCAGCAGAGGGUGGUGGAAUUCCGGGUGUAGUGGUGAAAUGCGUAGAUAUCCGGAGGAACACCAGUGGCGAAGGCGGCCACCAGGGCUGUACCUGACGCUCAAACACGAAAGCUAGGGGAGCGAACGGG
rnacentral:rRNA from 1 species